rnacentral:ncRNA from 2 species
ACGUAUUCUCAGGGCGGGGCGGAAUUCCCCACCGGCGGUAUGCGGCGCAGAUCGCGAGCCCGCGAGCGCCUUCCAAUGGAAGGGUCAGCAGAUCAGGUGCGAUGCCUGAGCCGACGGUCAUAGUCCGGAUGGAAGAGAACGGAC